rnacentral:rRNA from 2 species
UACGUAGGGUGCAAGCGUUAAUCGGAAUUACUGGGCGUAAAGCGCACGUAGGUGGCGACGUAAGUCGGGUGUGAAAGCCCCGGGCUCAACCUGGGAAUUGCAUUCGAGACUGCAUUGCUGGAGUACGGAAGAGGAGGGCGGAAUUCCCGGUGUAGCGGUGAAAUGCGUAGAUAUCGGGAGGAACAUCAGUGGCGAAGGCGGCCCUCUGGUCCAGUACUGACACUCAAGUGCGAAAGCGUGGGGAGCAAACAGG